UACAGAGGGUGCAAGCGUUGUUCGGAAUUAUUGGGCGUAAAGGGAGUGUAGGCGGUCUUUUAAGUCUUCUGUGAAAUCUACGGGCUUAGCCUGUAACGUGCAGAGGAAACUGGAAGGCUUGAGUGUCGGAGAGGAUAGGGGAAUACCCAGUGUAGAGGUGAAAUUCGUAGAGAUUGGGUGGAACACCAGUGGCGAAGGCGCCUAUCUGGCUGACAACUGACGCUGAGACUCGAAAGCAUGGGGAGUAAACAGG
rnacentral:rRNA from 1 species